UAAGGUGCAUCUAGUGCAGUUAGUGAAGCAACUUCGAAUCUACUGCCCUAAAUGCCCCUUCUGGC
rnacentral:pre_miRNA from 1 species